UUCCAUGAACAGACGAGUUCAGUUUCCGCC
rnacentral:piRNA from 1 species